rnacentral:rRNA from 1 species
UACAGAGGAUGCAAGCGUUAUCCGGAAUGAUUGGGCGUAAAGCGUCUGUAGGUGGCUUUUUAAGUCUGCCGUCAAAUCCCAGGGCUUAACCCUGGACAGGCGGUGGAAACUACCAAGCUGGAGUACGGUAGGGGCAGGGGGAAUUUCCGGUGGAGCGGUGAAAUGCGCAGAUAUCAGGAGGAACACCAGCGGCGAAGGCGGCGCUCUGGGCCGGAACUGACGCUGAGGAGCGAAAGCGUGGGUAGCAAACAGG